rnacentral:rRNA from 1 species
GAUGAACGCUGGCGGCGUGCCUAAUACAUGCAAGUCGAGCGAACAGACGAGGAGCUUGCUCCUUUGACGUUAGCGGCGGACGGGUGAGUAACACGUGGGUAACCUACCUAUAAGACUGGGAUAACUUCGGGAAACCGGAGCUAAUACCGGAUAAUAUUUCGAACCGCAUGGUUCGAUAGUGAAAGAUGGCUUUGCUAUCACUUAUAGAUGGACCUGCGCCGUAUUAGCUAGUUGGUAAGGUAACGGCUUACCAAGGCAACGAUACGUAGCCGACCUGAGAGGGUGAUCGGCCACACUGGAACUGAGACACGGUCCAGACUCCUACGGGAGGCAGCAGUAGGGAAUCUUCCGCAAUGGGCGAAAGCCUGACGGAGCAACGCCGCGUGAGUGAUGAAGGUCUUCGGAUCGUAAAACUCUGUUAUUAGGGAAGAACAAACGUGUAAGUAACUGUGCACGUCUUGACGGUACCUAAUCAGAAAGCCACGGCUAACUACGUGCCAGCAGCCGCGGUAAUACGUAGGUGGCAAGCGUUAUCCGGAAUUAUUGGGCGUAAAGCGCGCGUAGGCGGUUUUUUAAGUCUGAUGUGAAAGCCCACGGCUCAACCGUGGAGGGUCAUUGGAAACUGGAAAACUUGAGUGCAGAAGAGGAAAGUGGAAUUCCAUGUGUAGCGGUGAAAUGCGCAGAGAUAUGGAGGAACACCAGUGGCGAAGGCGACUUUCUGGUCUGUAACUGACGCUGAUGUGCGAAAGCGUGGGGAUCAAACGGGAUUAGAUACCCUGGUAGUCCACGCCGUAAACGAUGAGUGCUAAGUGUUAGGGGGUUUCCGCCCCUUAGUGCUGCAGCUAACGCAUUAAGCACUCCGCCUGGGGAGUACGACCGCAAGGUUGAAACUCAAAGGAAUUGACGGGGACCCGCACAAGCGGUGAAGCAUGUGGUUUAAUUCGAAGCAACGCGAAGAACCUUACCAAAUCUUGACAUCCUUUGACCCUUCUAGAGAUAGAAGUUUCCCCUUCGGGGGACAAAGUGACAGGUGGUGCAUGGUUGUCGUCAGCUCGUGUCGUGAGAUGUUGGGUUAAGUCCCGCAACGAGCGCAACCCUUAAGCUUAGUUGCCAUCAUUAAGUUGGGCACUCUAAGUUGACUGCCGGUGACAAACCGGAGGAAGGUGGGGAUGACGUCAAAUCAUCAUGCCCCUUAUGAUUUGGGCUACACACGUGCUACAAUGGACAAUACAAAGGGCAGCGAAACCGCGAGGUCAAGCAAAUCCCAUAAAGUUGUUCUCAGUUCGGAUUGUAGUCUGCAACUCGACUACAUGAAGCUGGAAUCGCUAGUAAUCGUAGAUCAGCAUGCUACGGUGAAUACGUUCCCGGGUCU